rnacentral:lncRNA from 1 species
CUGAAAUAAAAAGGCCGAAAGUACGGACGCCGGAAAAUAAAAUAAUACUAAACUCUCAACUUUAGAGAAGAAAACCUUGUGGUACUAAGCCUAGUUCUCAAUUCUCCAAGUCAAGUGUUCUUUUUACAAGUGAAGAAACAACACAUAUUUAUAGUGUAAUACAAGUGGUGCAGAAUUUGUUUUGGCCGAUGUGGGACUAAACAAAUGUGGCGAGAUUAUGCUUUGAAGGCUUGUGGCGGUCAUCAUGUUCUUGUGGUGGUCAUCACGUUCUUGUUUAGCUUAAUAGAUAAGAAUUAGCUAGCUUAGUUAUUAAGAAUGUAAGCCUAUAAAAAGGCAUGGUCAUCAAUUGUUAUAUCAUCAUCAAGUUUGAAUCAAAUAUAGUAGCAAGUUAAAUAUUCUUCCUCCGUUCUUUCUUGUUUAAAUUUUCUUGUUUAUGUCCCACCGAUGCUCAUUUGGGCUGCACUUGUGUGGCUCAUUUGGGUUGC